GGUUACUGCUAUCGGUGUUCGCUAAGCCAUGCGAGUCAUAUGUUCUUCGGAACAUGGCGUACUGCUCAGUAACACGUGGACAACCUACCCUUAGGCCUGGGAUAACCCCGGGAAACUGGGAAUAAUACCGGAUAUCUCGCGAAUGCUGGAAUGCGUCGCGAUAGAAAGCUCCGGCGCCUAAGGAUGGGUCUGCGGCCUAUCAGGUAGUAGUGGGUGUAACGUACCUACUAGCCUACGACGGGUACGGGUUGUGAGAGCAAGAGCCCGGAGAUGGAUUCUGAGACACGAAUCCAGGCCCUACGGGGUGCAGCGGGCGCGAAAACUUUACAAUGCUGGAAACAGCGAUAAGGGGACCUCGAGUGCCAGGAUACAAUCCUGGCUGUCGUAAUGCCUAAAAAGCAUUGCAUACAAGGGCCGGGCAAGACCGGUGCCAGCCGCCGCGGUAACACCGGCGGCUCGAGUGGUAACCGCUAUUAUUGGGUCUAAAGGGACUGUAGCCAGCUGACUAAGUCUCUUGGGAAAUCUGGCAGCUUAACUGUCAGGCUUUCAGGAGAUACUGAUCGGCUCGAGACCGGGAGAGGUGAGAGGUACCUCAGGGGUAGGGGUGAAAUCUUGUAAUCCUUGAGGGACCACCAGUGGCGAAGGCGUCUCACCAGAACGGAUCUGACGGCAAGGGACGAAAGCUAGGGGCACGAACCGGAUUAGAUACCCGGGUAGUCCUAGCCGUAAACGAUACUCGCUAGGUGUCGGCCACGGUGCGACCGUGGUCGGUGCCGUAGGGAAGCCGUGAAGCGAGCCACCUGGGAAGUACGGCCGCAAGGCUGAAACUUAA
rnacentral:rRNA from 1 species